GACGAACCGUGCGAACGUUGUUCGGAAUCACUGGGCUUAAAGGGCGCGUAGGCGGCAGUUCAAGUCCGGGGUGAAAUCCUCCAGCUCAACUGGAGAAGUGCCUUGGAUACUGGAUUGCUCGAGGGAGGUAGGGGUCGAGGGAACUUCUGGUGGAGCGGUGAAAUGCGUUGAUAUCAGAAGGAACGCCGGUGGCGAAAGCGCUCGACUGGACCUCUUCUGACGCUGAGGCGCGAAAGCUAGGGGAGCAAACGGG
rnacentral:rRNA from 2 species